rnacentral:tRNA from 1 species
GCGGGGGUAGCCAAGCCUGGUCCAAGGCGCCCGGUUCAGGACCGGGUGGGCGUAGGCCCGCGUGGGUUCAAAUCCCACCCCCCGCACCA